CAGUAGCCGCGGGAAUACAGAGGGUGCGAGCGUUAAUCGGAUUUACUGGGCGUAAAGCGUGCGUAGGCGGCUUCUUAAGUCGGAUGUGAAAUCCCUGAGCUUAACUUAGGAAUUGCAUUCGAUACUGGGAAGCUAGAGUAUGGGAGAGGAUGGUAGAAUUCCAGGUGUAGCGGUGAAAUGCGUAUAGAUCUGGAGGAAUACCGAUGGCGAAGGCAGCCAUCUGGCCUAAUACUGACGCUGAGGUACGAAAGCAUGGGGAGCAAACAGGAUUAGAUACCCGCGUAGUCCCUGUCUCUUAUAC
rnacentral:rRNA from 1 species